rnacentral:rRNA from 1 species
ACUGAGUGGCGGACGGGUGAGUAACGCGUGGGUAACCUGCCUCAUACAGGGGGAUAACAGUUAGAAAUGACUGCUAAUACCGCAUAAGACCACAGUACCGCAUGGUGCAGGGGUAAAAACUCCGGUGGUAUGAGAUGGACCCGCGUCUGAUUAGGUAGUUGGUGGGGUAACGGCCUACCAAGCCGACGAUCAGUAGCCGACCUGAGAGGGUGACCGGCCACAUUGGGACUGGGACACGGCCCAA